rnacentral:lncRNA from 1 species
UCAAAUCAAUCGCCUUUCAGAUUAUCUGCGAAUUGAUUGGCACCAAUACCAUUUCUUAAGAUUUCAACUUGAUCAUCACUGAUGGUAAAAAAAAAAAACUUUUCCCCCCAUCUGAUGUUUCUACCAGCCUGAACCCUGAAGCUAACAAAUCCAUUUUUUUUAAGAACAGUGAAAAAAAAUCAAAAGAAUUAACCUUUUAAUAAGCAAAUAAAAAGAUCAGAGAUGCCAAUUUACAUGCUGCUUCAAUCAGCAAUAAAUAACAAAAAAAAAGCAACGGGGAGGAAUCCUCUUUGAACAAGUUACGUAGCCUGACGCCGACCGGUUAACCAAAACCCCGCGUGAUUAGCUUACCAUAAUCGCAAUAGUUUAUUCGCCUACUGGCUAGUCAGUCUAGAUUAGACAAAGAAAG